rnacentral:lncRNA from 1 species
UACUCUAUAAGUAUUUCUUGUAAUUUUUUAAAACUCUUAUUUUUCAGAAUAGUUUGAAGACGCGAUAUUUUUUCAUGUUAAUGUGUGGAGGCCUGAGUAUCAUAUCAUGCCAUGUACAGCAAUGAAGAUUAUCUGAAUACGAGAUUGCUGACAUAGGUGAUUUUUUUCUUUUUUUAAUGAUCCUUUGCUUAGACCAAUUCAGGGG